rnacentral:rRNA from 1 species
UACGAAGGGUGCGAGCGUUGUUCGGAAUUAUUGGGCGUAAAGGGUUCGUAGGUUGGAAUUCAAGUCAGAUGUGAAAUCCCCGAGCUUAACUUGGGACGUGCAUUUGAAACUGGGUUUCUUGAGUACUGAAGAGGGUGAUGGAAUUGCUGGUGUAGGAGUGACAUCCGUAGAGAUCAGCAGGAACACCGGAGGCGAAAGCGGUCACCUGGUCAAGUACUGACACUGAGGAACGAAAGCGUGGGGAGCAAACAGG